GCUUGUCUUGAUUCCAGUGUUACAAAAAAAACUCUGAUUAACCGCAACACUUAGACUUUGAUGCAAAAUGAUAAAAAUAUGUUGAAGUUCACUCGGUGUUCUGCGAUAUCACCUCACCAAACUUUAGGAACAGUUGCGCAUCGGACGAGCUCAGGGAAGCAGUGCAGGUAAGAGCGUUGGGGUGCUUGGAGUUAAUGUACUCGCCAAUAUAGCUGGGUGUUGAAGAGGGUGGUGGCAAUGCAAGCAGUUGCUGCUGCUUCGGUGGAGGGCUCGGCUGGGCGAGGCUUCCGAGCACACGGCUCACCUCAUGCAUGGUUGGCCUAUCAGAUGGUUGCUUCUUGGUGCAGAGGAGCGCGAGCUGGAAAACCUUCUUCACCGCCCCAAGAUCGUUGCAUGUGGAGGAGAUAUCGGGAUCGACUGUCUCCAUGACUGCAUUGUUUGCAGUUUUUGAUAGUAUCAGAUGAUGGAGGUUGCACUCGUUGUCAACUGCUUUCUUUCCGGUGAGAAGCUCGAGCAAAACGAUCCCAUAGCUAUAAACAUCAGAUUUCUCGUUGAGACGUGAGGUGCGAGCAUACUCGGGGUCGAUAUAUCCUAUGGUGCCCAUGACGUAUGUGGAUGUGUGGGUCUUAGAGACACAUAAGCUCUUCGCAAUACCAAAGUCGGUGAGAUGAGCCUCGAAAUCCUU
rnacentral:misc_RNA from 1 species